AUUGAACGCUGGCGGCACGCCUUACACAUGCAAGUCGAACGGUAACAGGUCUUCGGAUGCUGACGAGUGGCGAACGGGUGAGUAAUACAUCGGAACGUGCCUAGUAGUGGGGGAUAACUACUCGAAAGAGUGGCUAAUACCGCAUGAGAUCUACGGAUGAAAGCAGGGGAUCGCAAGACCUUGUGCUACUAGAGCGGCCGAUGGCAGAUUAGGUAGUUGGUGGGAUAAAAGCUUACCAAGCCGACGAUCUGUAGCUGGUCUGAGAGGACGAUCAGCCACACUGGGACCGAGAAACGGCCCAGACUCCUACGGGAGGCAGCAGUGGGGAAUUUUGGACAAUGGGCGCAAGCCUGAUCCAGCAAUGCCGCGUGCAGGAUGAAGGCCUUCGGGUUGUAAACUGCUUUUGUACGGAACGAAAAGCCCCGGGUUAAUACCCUGGGGUCAUGACGGUACCGUAAGAAUAAGCACCGGUUAACUACGUGCCAGCCGCCGCGGUAA
rnacentral:rRNA from 1 species